rnacentral:lncRNA from 1 species
AUAGUACUCAUUCCUAGCUAGGCCUAACAUGCAAAGUGCACGAAUUACUGACCAUCCCUAGCGCAAGUGGUAAAGGAUUUGGUGGUUGGUAUAUGAUAUCCCAAGUUCGAAUUCUAAUUGAUUCACAUUUUUAACUAAAUUUAUUUCUAAAUGAAAUAAACGAAGCGGUUAACAUAUUAUCUAUUUGAGACCUAGUUGGGCAUGACGCCCAACGGAAUUCAAAAAUUCAAAAACAUAAACCAUAAAUAGUCAACGCAUUUUUUUUGGCCUUUAUUAUUAUUACUAAUGUAGAGACCUGCGCGAUGCAGCGGAUAGAUAAUAGAAAUAAAAUUUUAAAAUUUAAUAAAAUUUAUAUUUACAGCUUAUUGAUAUAAUAGUAAGCUAUACCAUGUUAAGUACAGCCAAUUUGCAUGACUAAACUCAACUGUUAAAACAAUAAAAUUAUAGCUAGAAGUUUAUAUAAUUUUUUUUAAAUCAUCGAAAUACAGUAAGAGACAUAUAAUUUUAUCGCAUUAUGUACCUAUUGAAUAUUCCAUUGUAAAAAAUAAAACAAGAACUAGCUCUAGCUGAAUCAAGCAUCUUUAUCCAAAUAUCAAAAUAAAUUAAAGAUAUGAAACACAUAACUAAUAAGUUAACGCAUCUAGCUUAAAAAGAAUUUGGAUGAGAUUUCAGAUUCGAGUCUCCACAUCAUAUUUCUUAAUUUAUGAAAGGGACUUUGUCCAUAACAGCGCUUACUCAAAAAAAUAGUCAUAGAAUGAAAAUAAAACAAAAACAUAAAUAAAAAAGAACUAAUAUGAGCACUUCUUCAUCCACACGAAUUUGCUCAUCCAAAGUUCAUACAUCUUUUUAAUCUUCAGUUGGUAGUUCAUCCCCCCGCCGAGUCGCUUUUGGAUUUUCAUUGUGACCUAUGAACAAACACCUCAUCUGAAUUACCAAAUUGCAAUAUCUAAACCGACACAGUCUUGCCAACACAUCAACCACAGAAAUUCUAAUUCUCAAGUAAUUUAGAUUUACCAAGAAAUUCCUGCGAUUCUCGAGAAGCGAGCUUCCGUGCAGCGUCCCCUUGAAGAGGAGGCUCAGGACGCCACUUGCCUCGGCCUAGUUGUGCUCGUUGAACCGGUCCGCGCCGGGCCCCUCCCUACUCACCAUGAACCUCCGCCGCCUUGGCUUCAUGGGUUGAUACUUCUCGAAGGAUAUAAUGUUUUCCGCAGGCUCUUCUUCUUCUUCUUCGUCCUUGUCAUCUUCGUUAACACAAUGAGAGAAAGAUGGAGAUGAGUGUGGGGGUGCGAGAUUAGACGAUGAUAUUUUUUUAUGGUGCAUGCAAAAAAGUUACAAAAAAGAGAGGGUAGAAGUUUAAUGGAGGAGCAGAGUAAAUUAAAGUUAUAAAGCUCACUUAUUGAUAGAAUAUUAAUAUAAUGCAUGUAAUUAAAUUUAUACCUUGCAUGUAAUUAGAGGACUGAGGAGAUGAAGGGUUGGGCCUUGCAUGUAAUUAGAGAACUAGGGAGGUGAAAUGUUGGGCGUUGAGAAGAGGAGAAGGUGGUUUGAUUUAAAAUGAGGCAAUGAGAAUAAAGAAUAACAUACCACGUGGUAGAAAGUGUUGUGACUUCAUAUAAAUUUAUUUAUAGAUUAUUAUUUGAGAAAUUGGUAU